UGGCACCUUCGGUGUCCGAGUUGUAAUCUCUAGAAAUGUUUUCCGCGUUGGACCGCACACAAGUCUGUUGGAAUACAGCGGCAUAGUGGUGAGACCCCCGUAUAUGGUGCGGACGCCCAGCGCUUUGUGAUACAUUUUCGAAGAGUCGAGUUGUUUGGGAAUGCAGCUCAAAUUGGGUGGUAAAUUCCAUCUAAAGCUAAAUAUUGGCGAGAGACCGAUAGCGAACAAGUACCGUGAGGGAAAGAUGAAAAGCACUUUGGAAAGAGAGUUAACAGUACGUGAAAUUGUUGGAAGGGAAACGCUUGAAGUCAGACUUGCUUGCCGAGCAAUCGGUUUGCAGGCCAGCAUCAGUUUUCCGGGAUGGAUAAUGGUAGAGAGAAGGUAGCAGUUUCGGCUGUGUUAUAGCUCUCUGCUGGAUACAUCUUGGGGGACUGAGGAACGCAGUGUGCCUUUUGGCGGGGGUUUCGACCUCUUCACACUUAGGAUGCUGGUGGAAUGGCUUUAAACGACC
rnacentral:rRNA from 1 species